AUGUCUAAAUAUGCUAAGUAAGAAUUUGUAUAACCUGUUUUCAAUGUUGACAGGAAAGUUUGGUCCUCGCUUCCCAGAAGUCAUCUGUAAGGCAGUCGCAGGAAUAAGCACAAACUAGAAGAGGCUCACUAAUCCCAAGAAAAAUGAAAAGUAUCUGGGGAGGUCAAGGCUGACUGUAAUUCAGACUUAGUCUAAGAGAAAGAUAAUCUAGGGUAACAGAGACACCUAAUGAUGAGCUGUUCACAGAGGCCAGCUCUCCCUCAGCUGCCCUCGGACUUGGUGUGAACAUGACUGAAAAACUCGAACAUCACAGCAGUGAAGAAAGCCUAACGAGGCGAACGGGAUUUCACCGUGGAGAAGAAAGCCUUAGAGAUGUGAAAUGUUUCCAGAGACAUGAAAUGGGAUGAAAUCCAGCUGUGGAAAGGUAUUUGGACAGUACUCAGAUUAUGAAAUUCAAAGAGGUAUCCGAUGCCCUAUUUAUUUUGGGAACUGUUCUCUGAACGUAAUUCUGUGACUAAAUGAGAGCGGCUUCUCUGCCCUUCUCUCCCGGACCUGGUGGCCCCAGCCUGCCCCCUCCCCACCCACACCCUGUGUUCCUGUGGCUCUUUGGAAAAAGAGCACAGGCUCAGGAUGGAAGAAUUUCCUUUUUGAGUUAAACAAGUCCACUCGAAGUUCCAGAGGAGGGGCCUGGCAGAGACCGCGUUCUGAUCACAGGGGCGUGGGCGAGGAAAACUCUGAUAAGCUCCACGGUGAAGGGGUGAAGGAAUCGGCAGUGGGAGAGCAGAGCGCCAAGGCAAAGGGAACGUUCACUUCACACCCGGGCAGCCCUCCUGUCGGGAGAUUCUGAGACAACGGAACAGACAGACAAUGGGAUUGAGGCCACCUCCGCCCGGAACCACCCUGGACAGCGCCCUUUAGGAAACAAUUGGAGCGUGGCUUGAUGAGUCGUGUGUAGGUCUGCGCCUGGGAUCCGAACCUGCGAACCCUGGCAUGGAAGUGGAGCACACGAACCCACCC
rnacentral:lncRNA from 1 species